rnacentral:rRNA from 1 species
UACGUAGGGGGCUAGCGUUGUCCGGAAUCAUUGGGCGUAAAGCGCGUGUGGGCGGUCCGGUAAGUCCGCUGUGAAAGUCGAGGGCUCAACCCUCGAAUGCCGGUGGAUACUGUCGGGCUUGAGUACGGGAGAGGCGAGUGGAAUUCCUGGUGUAGCGGUGAAAUGCGCAGAUAUCAGGAGGAACACCGAUUGCGAAGGCAGCUCGCUGGAACGUUACUGACGCUGAGACGCGAAAGCGUGGGGAGCAAACAGG